rnacentral:rRNA from 1 species
UACGUAGGGGGCAAGCGUUAUCCGGAAUUAUUGGGCGUAAAGGGUACGCAGGCGGUCACAUAAGUCAGAUGUGAAAGGCAUCGGCUCAACCGGUGUAAGCAUUUGAAACUGUGUGACUUGAGUACUGGAGAGGAAAGUGGAAUUCCUAGUGUAGCGGUGAAAUGCGUAGAUAUUAGGAGGAACACCAGUGGCGAAGGCGACUUUCUGGACAGAUACUGACGCUGAGGUACGAAAGCGUGGGGAGCAAACAGG